rnacentral:rRNA from 1 species
AGCGAACGCUGGCGGUAGGCCUAACACAUGCAAGUCGAACGGCAGCACAGUAAUUGCUUGCUCCUACGGGUGGCGACCGGCGGAUGGGUGGGGAAUACACUGGACUCCACUUUUUCGUGGGGGAUAACGAAGGGAAACUUUCGCUAAUAGCGGAUAUGACCUACGGGUGAAAGCAGGGGAUCUUUGGAUCUUGCGUGAGUUAACGAGCUGAUGUCGGAUUAGCUAGUUGGCGGGGUAAAGGCCCACCAAGGCGACGAUCGGUAGCCGGUCUGAGAGGAUGUAGAGGCACACUGAGGGUGAAAGGCGGCACAGGCUCUUAGAGGCGGCAGCGGUGGGGAAGAUUGGACGAUGGGCGCAAGCCUGAUCCAGCCGUACCGCGUUGGUGAAGAAGGCCUUCGGGUUGUAUGACCCUUUUGUUGUGAAAGACAAGCAGCAGGUUGAUCCCCGCCUGUUGUGACGGUACCUAGAGAAGAAGCACCGGCUAACUUCGUG